rnacentral:rRNA from 1 species
AUUGAACGCUGGCGGCAGGCCUAACACAUGCAAGUCGAGCGGCAGCGGGAAAGUAGCUUGCUACUUUUGCCGGCGAGCGGCGGACGGGUGAGUAAUGCCUGGGAAAUUGCCCAGUCGAGGGGGAUAACAGUUGGAAACGACUGCUAAUACCGCAUACGCCCUACGGGGGAAAGCAGGGGACCUUCGGGCCUUGCGCGAUUGGAUAUGCCCAGGUGGGAUUAGCUAGUUGGUGAGGUAAUGGCUCACCAAGGCGACGAUCCCUAGCUGGUCUGAGAGGCUGAUCAGCCACACUGGAACUGAGACACGGUCCAGACUCCUACGGGAGGCAGCAGGGGGGAAUAUUGCACAAUGGGGGAAACCCUGAUGCAGCCAUGCCGCGUGUGUGAAGAAGGCCUUCAGGUUGUAAAGCACUUUCAGCGAGGAGGAAAGGUUGAUGCCUAAUACGUAUCAACUGUGACGUUACUCGCAGAAGAAGCACCGGCUAACUCCGUGCCAGCCGCCGCCGUAAUAC